rnacentral:lncRNA from 1 species
AGAUUCUACUCAUUGGUCGAAUAACCACUGUGGUCUCUCAUCUUUUAUUAGAGAAAGAGGCCCUUUCCAAAUUCAUUCUGAAGUUCCAGAUGGAGAAUUGUGCAUUUCUCACAUUUCUAGUCUUUCAAUCCCACCAAAUCUCUUGGGAACGCCUGUUGCAAUUCU